rnacentral:rRNA from 1 species
AUUGAACGCUGGCGACAUGCCUUACACAUGCAAGUCGAACGGUAACAGAUCUUCGGAUGCUGACGAGUGGCGAACGGGUGAGUAAUACAUCGGAACGUGCCUAGUAGUGGGGGAUAACUACUCGAAAGAGUGGCUAAUACCGCAUGAGAUCUACGGAUGAAAGCAGGGGAUUGCAAGACCUUGUGCUACUAGAGCGGCCGAUGGCAGAGUAGGUAGUUGGUGGAAUAAAAGCUUACCAAGCCGACGAUCUGUAGCUGGUCUGAGAGGACGAUCAGCCACACUGGGACUGAGACACGGCCCAGACUCCUACGGGAGGCAGCAGUGGGGAAUUUUGGACAAUGGGCGCAAGCCUGAUCCAGCAAUGCCGCGUGCAGGAUGAAGGCCUUCGGGUUGUAAACUGCUUUUGUACGGAACGAAAAGCCCUGGGUUAAUACCCUGGGGUCAUGACGGUACCGUAAGAAUAAGCACCGGCUAACUACGUGCCAGCCGCCGCGGUAAAAC